GGAGAGUUUGACAGGCGCACGGCCUGUAUAUACGGACGCUCUACUGCGACACUGCUAUCCCGUCACCUCAGUUCCAUACAACUAUGGCACAGAUACGCAUCAGUAUGAAACGACGCCGAAAGAUGUCCAACGUGAUGACCAUGUUUGACCCGACUCAGAUCCGGGAAUUUAAGGUUUAAUAAUGUCCAAACCAGUCAAGGAAUCUGCAGUGAACCAAGGAGAAAGAAGUGUGGUGAACUAUGGGAAUGUUGAUACAAUACGAACGGGAGAUCAA